rnacentral:rRNA from 1 species
AGAGUUUGAUCCUGGCUCAGGAUGAACGCUAGCGGGAGGCUUAAUACAUGCAAGUCGAGCGGCAAGGUCUUCGGACCCUAGAGCGGCGCACGGGUGAGUAACGCGUACGCAAUCUGCCCUUCAGUGAGGAAUAGCCCUGGGAAACUGGGAUUAAUACCUCAUAAUAUUAUUUGUUCGCAUGGACGAAUAAUUAAAGUUCUGGCGCUGAAGGAUGGGCGUGCGUCUGAUUAGCUUGUUGGUAGGGUAACGGCCUACCAAGGCUACGAUCAGUAGGGGGCGUGAGAGCGUGGCCCCCCACACGGGUACUGAGACACGGACCCGACUCCUACGGGAGGCAGCAGUAAGGAAUAUUGGGCAAUGGAGGCAACUCUGACCCAGCCAUCCCGCGUGAAGGAUUAAGGCCCUAUGGGUUGUAAACUUCUUUUGUUUGGGAAGAAAUCUGGACAUUUAUGUGCAGUUGACGGUACCUUACGAAUAAGCACCGGCUAACUCCGUGCCAGCAGCCGCGGUAAUACGGAGGGUGCAAGCGUUAUCCGGAAUCACUGGGUUUAAAGGGUGCGUANGCGGUUUGAUANGUCAGAGGUGAAAGCUAGCAG